GAACAUAUGCUUAAAUAAGGCCUAUUUUGUGCAAACUUCAAACAUCUUCUUGUUCUUAAUUAUAGAGCCUAGGGCUACUAAAUUUGGUAUGUUGUGAUAUCUAAUAGUUCUCUACCAAAUUUGUUCAAAUUAUUCCCCAGGGCUCAAAUUUGACCCUGUCCCGGGAGGUCACAAAACUGAACAUAUGACGUUUACCAGGGGAGAUUACUGCGGCCGUGUGGCUGUGACCAACAACAACAACAACAACAUCUUGUAAACAUGAGAUAAAACCCUGUCAUUUAGUGCCAUUUUAGAUCAGAUGAUGACUGCUUACAAAGGAAUUGAAGCGGUGUCGAAAUGGGUCUAUAGCUCUGCCUGAUCCGUCGUCCAAUUGGUAAACCGGCUGAAGUGACAGGCCAUCAAAAACUGUACAGCAUGACUGUUUCGGAGACGGCCCUCAACACUCGCCCAGUCGUGUCGAGAGGAUCGGUGUCUUUGCAGAUUACACGGAAUUGAGCACCCGGGCCAGACUGACACUUUCCGGAGCCUGUCCGAGACGGAACUCGAGCCGAGGAAUCAUAGGUACAGGUGUGACAAAAGACUUGAAGCUCAUGUCUGACGAUGACUUUUUUCAGUCAGGAAGUCAAGUGUGUUGUUUUUCCAUGCAAGCAAGUCCUUUUGUUGGGUCAAAUGACAUCAGAAUUGCUGCUUCUACAUGGAUUUUA